rnacentral:rRNA from 1 species
UACGUAGGGUGCGAGCGUUGUCCGGAAUUACUGGGCGUAAAGAGCUCGUAGGUGGUUUGUCGCGUUGUCCGUGAAAACUCACAGCUCAACUGUGGGCGUGCGGGCGAUACGGGCAGACUGGAGUACUGCAGGGGAGACUGGAAUUCCUGGUGUAGCGGUGGAAUGCGCAGAUAUCGUCAAGAACACCGAUAGUGAAGACAGCUAACUAGACUUAUACUGACGCUGAGGCACGAAAGUGUGGGGAUCAAACAGG